rnacentral:rRNA from 1 species
AACGAACGCUGGCGGCAUGCCUAACACAUGCAAGUCGAACGAGACCUUCGGGGCUAGUGGCGCACGGGUGCGUAACGCGUGGGAACCUGCCCUUAGGUUCGGAAUAACUCCCCGAAAGGGGUGCUAAUACCGGAUAAUGUCUUCGGACCAAAGAUUUAUCGCCUUUGGAUGGGCCCGCGUUGGAUUAGCUAGUUGGUAGGGUAAAAGCCUACCAAGGCGACGAUCCAUAGCUGGUCUGAGAGGAUGAUCAGCCACACUGGGACUGAGACACGGCCCAGACUCCUACGGGAGGCAGCAGUGGGGAAUAUUGGACAAUGGGCGAAAGCCUGAUCCAGCCAUGCCGCGUGAGUGAUGAAGGCCUUAGGGUUGUAAAGCUCUUUUACCCGGGAUGAUAAUGACAGUACCGGGAGAAUAAGCCCCGGCUAACUCCGUG